rnacentral:rRNA from 1 species
UACGUAGGGUGCAAGCGUUGUCCGGAAUUAUUGGGCGUAAAGAGCUCGUAGGCGGUCCGUCACGUCGGCUGUGAAAACUCGGGGCUCAACCCCGAGCCUGCAGUCGAUACGGGCGGACUAGAGUCCGGCAGGGGAGACUGGAAUUCCUGGUGUAGCGGUGAAAUGCGCAGAUAUCAGGAGGAACACCGGUGGCGAAGGCGGGUCUCUGGGCCGAUACUGACGCUGAGGAGCGAAAGCGUGGGGAGCGAACAGG